UGGUGAAUAGUUAUUAAAUACCUUAAGCAUGCUAAAUAUGUGCACGCACAUCACAGUGUAGUUUAAAUGUGGAGCUCAAGGUUGUACUUUCAGCAUGUCAUCUUCUAUAAUCUGGGAUUGACUAAUCCCUCAGUGUUCCUGAUCCAGGCAAGGGGACAGAGUGAGAGACAAACACCUGCUGACUGGAAGGUCCCCAAUGCACAAGUUUCCAACAUGAAUGCUUCAUGUUGAACCUGCUGUCUGCUUGACUGCAGUCUGCUGGUGGGCUCUGUGGACCAUGUGUACCACCAUCAUGGUUCUCUCCUCUCUGGCUUUUGUACUGCGCCAACAUUUCCUCAGCCAAGGCAAAACUUUUCCAAAGGACUUGAGGAAGAAGGAGGCGCAGUCAGUGCAGAGUGGAGACCCUAACAACUGAGACCCAACAUGUCACCAGAGGUGGGGUUAAGAUGUGCAGGACAUCAUCAAGCCCAUGGAAAGAGUCGGUG